UUGUUCCUACGGGGCGCAGCAGUAGGGAAUCUUCCACAAUGGACGAAAGUCUGAUGGAGCAACGCCGCGUGAGUGAAGAAGGGUUUCGGCUCGUAAAGCUCUGUUGGUAGUGAAGAAAGAUAGAGGUAGUAACUGGCCUUUAUUUGACGGUAAUUACUUAGAAAGUCGCGGCUAACUACGUGCCAGCAGCCGCGGUAAUACAUAGGUGGCAAGCGUUGUCCGGAUUUAUUGGG
rnacentral:rRNA from 1 species